rnacentral:rRNA from 1 species
UUGCUACUUUGCUGACGAGCGGCGGACGGGUGAGUAAUGCUUGGGAACAUGCCUUGAGGCGGGGGACAACAGUUGGAAACGACUGCUAAUACCGCAUAAUGUCUACGGACCAAAGGGGGCUUCGGCUCUCGCCUUUAGAUUGGCCCAAGUGGGAUUAGCUAGUUGGUGAGGUAAUGGCUCACCAAGGCAACGAUCCCUAGCUGGUUUGAGAGGAUGAUCAGCCACACUGGGACUGAGACACGGCCCAGACUCCUACGGGAGGCAGCAGUGGGGAAUAUUGCACAAUGGGCGCAAGCCUGAUGCAGCCAUGCCGCGUGUGUGAAGAAGGCCUUCGGGUUGUAAAGCACUUUCAGUCAGGAGGAAAGGUUAGCGGUUAAUACCCGCUAGCUGUGACGUUACUGACAGAAGAAGCACCGGCUAACUCCGUGCCAGCAGCCGCGGUAAUACGGAGGGUGCGAGCGUUAAUCGGAAUUACUGGGCGUAAAGCGUACGCAGGCGGUUUGUUAAGCGAGAUGUGAAAGCCCCGGGCUCAACCUGGGAACUGCAUUUCGAACUGGCAAACUAGAGUGUGAUAGAGGGUGGUAGAAUUUCAGGUGUAGCGGUGAAAUGCGUAGAGAUCUGAAGGAAUACCGAUGGCGAAGGCAGCCACC